ACACGACUACAUUAGAUACCCGCGUAGUCCAGGGUGUAAACGCUGCGGGCUUGGUGUUGGGGGUCCUUUGAGGGCGCCCAGUGCCGGAGAGAAGUUGUUAAGCCUGCUGCUUGGGGAGUACGUCCGCAAGGAUGAAACUUAAGGGAAUUGGCGGGGGAGCACCGCAACGGGAGGAGCGUGCGGUUCAAUUGGAUUCAACGCCGGACAACUCACCAGGAGCGACGGUUACAUGAAGGCCAGGCUGAUGACCUUGCCUGAUUUUCCG
rnacentral:rRNA from 1 species